UACGUAGGGCGCAAGCGUUGUCCGGAAUUAUUGGGCGUAAAGCGCGUGUAGGCGGCUUGGCAAGUCGGGUGUGAAAUCCCUCAGCUCAACUGAGGAAGUGCGCCCGAAACUGCUUAGCUUGAGUGCCGGAGAGGAUGGCGGAAUUCCCCAAGUAGAGGUGAAAUUCGUAGAUAUGGGGAGGAACACCGGUGGCGAAGGCGGCCAUCUGGACGGUAACUGACGCUGAGACGCGAAAGCGUGGGUAGCAAACAGG
rnacentral:rRNA from 1 species